CAAACGCCAACAUAACAAACAAGGAUAUCAACCAUUAUCGAUGACUAUUAUUUUUAAUCUACCUAUUUGUAGAGUCAAAAAGGCUGGAAACGCGCAAAAUAUGUCAAUGUAUGUCCUCCAGAAAGGAAAGAGGUAGGAUCUUAGCCGCAAAGUAAAUAAUAGGACGAAAAGGGUUCAUAAUAUAUAUGCGAUGGAACGGUAGAGGUGAGGUAAGGACUGUCAAAUCAGUUGUUAGGUUGUCGACCUGAGCCAAACGUAGAUAAUGUGUGAUAAUGAUAUCAGCAGAUCGUACGAAAAUGUACACUUGUGUGUUUAAAAAUGCGAAAUUCUUUCAUUAUUUUGCGUCAUUUUUGCAGAAUUGUAUACAAACGCGGUGUGCGCGGGCAUGGCGGGCACGGCGGGCACGGCGGCGGCAUGGUGGCACCGCGGCCCGGACGAGCUCGGUACAUUCUGUCACCACUUGACUUGGCCCGUCAAGUGUGUGUAAUUCUGUGAAGGUUAAUUCUCGCGUCGUCCGUCGUCACCAUCAACGUUUAUUAGUGUUGAUUAGUCUCUACACAGCUCUGCCGCUCUUAUCUACAGCUCACACUUAGUUUCAAUUUCCACAACGUGUACCGUACAAGAACAAUUUGUUGCCAGUAUACAAAAAUACAUAUAUAUACUAGCCUCGUGCUACGACUCUGCUGGCAAUCGGUAAAUUGUUGUAAGUUAGAAAAUUACGAUUUCACACUGCUGUGUUGCGUAUUGGUUUGUUCGGUCGUGAUAAGUUUAAUAUUCAAUUUUCGAAUCAAACUUUGUUGAAAGCAAACAUUCUUUCAACAAUACUAAGUACCUACUUUAAUACUGUUUAAAUUGCUGUAAUACUUGUACAGUACUUGCUUGUUUAGCGCUUAAAUUCAAUUACGGUAGGCUGUGUGUUCUGACAUUUCUACCCUAGUCGGAUAACUCACCCUGCUAGACUCUACUUUUUCUCAUUUACACAAGUAUUAUACUUUCUCUGACGUAAUUGAGAUCAAUACCUAAAAACAUGCAAUCUGUAAAUAAUUUGUAACGAUUAUGACAAAGGAAAAUAAGGAAUAGUUUCGUUAAAUAAAGAAAUAUAUACAGA